ensembl:lncRNA
AAUUGAACAGAUGUGCAGUGGUUACAGAAUAGUUACAUCGGGGCCCAUUAUCUGACCACACUGUUGGGCUCAUGGUGAGUAACAAACUUAAGGGACGUCACUGAUUACAAUGUGGAAUGACGGUGAGAUGUUAAAUAAUUUGGAACAAAUUAUGGGGAAAAGUAGGAGUUUAAUGAGUUUAGAAUAAACCUGCAAUGAUACUUGUCUCUGUGAUGCUGAAUACUUUAUUACUCUUAUGAUCUAUAGUUGGUUGCAAAUGUGAAGUUGUUUUAAUUUUAAGACUUUGUCUUCUAGGAUACAGGAGCUGGGAGCUAAACAAGCUGAACAUUUCAAUGCUGACUGUUUUUACACAGGGUUACAGCUUGGAGUGAAGCUGCUCCAAGGGACAAACCUUGGAGAUUGUUUUAGGGAGACUGUGCAACACUCUUGUACAUGUCUCAUUGGGGAGUUGACACAUGGCGAAAGCCGUGUGGUGAGAGGAGUGUCAUUUUUUAAUUUGUAGAUAUUGUGAGGUGCCAUGACGAGAAGGAGUGACUGAGAGGAUCGUCCACAAGGUGGAAGCUGAGGCCAGGAGAGAGUUUUCAGGAGGAUCGGAGAUCACCUUCAGCACAGAGAGCUGUGUUACUGGUCUUCCAAAGGAUCGUCACGAGGAGACUUUGCACAGCAAAUCUUAAAUAAGAUGAAAGAGUUUCGACGUUGACGUUAAGGAAGACAACUAAGCUGUUUGCGUGUCGAGGAGCCUGUGCCAUCACCAGGGAAGUCUCAAAUGUCCCAGGAAUGGGUGGACCAAAGACCAGCUUUCCAGAGUCAUUAUUUUGUUUUAGGAGUUUUACUUUUCAUUUUGUUAGACAUGGCACAGUUGAAAGUAAAAGAAGACCACUCUAAUUUGUCAUGUGUUGUCAUAUUUUGAUAUAUUUGAUUACUUUUCAUUGGUUAUAUUAUAUCGGGUAAAAAUCACCCGGCAUUAGUGAUCGUGUUACUAUUUAUAGCGAUAGUGUUCUAGGGUUAAAUCUUCAGCAGCGUUGGAAAAUGGAACCUGAGGGAGCGUGCCAAGCCUCAGAAAGUGACAGCGCAGAGGAGGUCCAGCGAUGGACUUGUGGUUCUGUGAACAGCACAAAUGCCAGAUGAUUCUGUUUCUCCGCAGGAGCAGAGUCUGAAGUCUGGAGAUUGGAUGUUGAUAAGGCCAUGGAGAGGAAGUGCUGGUCCAGUCCAUGGUGGGAAGGUCCAUAUCGGAUGCUGCUGACGACGACCACAGCAGUGAAGAUUGCUGGAAGGAACACUUGGAUAUAUCAAGCGCACUGCAAGAAGGUGACACACAUCCAGGCCAGCUCGGAGUAAGUGGCAGGAAGACCGGGAACAAAGGGGGGGAAAAGCCUCCAGGGCCCCUCGUCUCAAUCCGGUGAAGAAACCAACUGAGCCACAGGUACUCAUCAGAAUGGCUGGGAAUGUGCUGUGCAUCUUCUUGUGCCUGUGGAACAGAGCAAACCACACCCAGUACCAGCAUGGGUUUUCAACAACUACUGGUGGCAGUUUAAGAACACAACCGCUCACAUAAAGAAUGAGACCAAUGGUUAUGCUUGUGAUGCCACUGGCUACACAUUCUUCUGGACUGUGGCCCUAUAGCAUCACUGAGAGCGAGGCAGUUUGUCUGGUUGCUUUAGCAACACAUCCGGGAACACUGCCAACUUUUCAACUGCUCUGAACCUGAAUGGAAGGUUGAUUCACCAGUAGCUGGGAAGGUGAACUGCUCUGGUGAGACAGACCUGCUCGUCUGACUCAAAGAAUAUGACUUGUUGCAGGACAUUGAACAGCUAAACGAACUGGAAACAGGCCAAUUGCCUAUGUGUAUGAAGGACAAUGGAUUAGCCCAAGUUGGAGAUCAACCAUGGAACAUGGCAACAUCACCUAUUCUUUUUGUUUUCUGCAAGAAGGAUGUAAACAGAGAAGCCUUUUGUCUACAUUACAUCAUGAACACUUGAGGUUUCGAGCCAAGAAGUUCAAAACAGCUUGAUCCAAUUUCCUUUACAAAGCUUUUUCUGUGGUGACAACAGGACAGGAGAAGAGUUGUAAAUGCAGAUAAUUCACCAGUUGACUCUAACCCCCACAGGAUGCCUACAGUGAAAAGAUUUGGGGGGUUGAUAGGAGUCAUAAAGAAGGGUGUUGACCAGGCUGCAGCUUUGAAGUUAGCUGAGAGCCAUAUGGACAAACAAUAAAGUCAACUGAUGCGUUUAAAUACCUAUGUCUGUAUACAGUUGGAUUGUAGUGACAUAUGAUUUUUGAGAAUGAUGAUUCUUCUUGUUUGACCUUUGACAUUCAGUUGUUUACUUGAAGAAAUACAUAAUGAAUUGCACGACAGGAGUAGAUCCGCCACAAGGCUGGAUAGCUUGGUUACCGUCUGGUCCUUGGUGGCAUCUUCUUUUGAAAAAAUUAAUUCCUGUUUUUGGACUGUUGAUACUGAUUUGCUUAUGUAUAGGAUGUAGUUUACUGUGUAUGAAUGAAAUCUAUACUGACACUGUCCAAACAAAGGGUGCAUAAGUUGAAAUUUAAGAACAAUGACAAAAAGGAGGGAAAUGUUAAGUCUAAUUGUUGAAUGUUGCCAUUGUGUUUCUUAAAUUUGUACAGUCUUAGUUCAAGCAGUAGGAUCAAAGCCAUCCCUUUGAUCCUGACCACCUCUCCAACCACUCUGUGCUGGGGGAGGUUUUAUUGUAGAUACAUCCUAUCUGAAAGAUCUGUUUCUUUUGAUGUAAACUUCCUGGGUUUAUGACCCUUUGGUCAGCAGGAGGUAACACACACACACACACACACACUUACAUACAGUGCCUUGUCUAUGUAACCAAAGGGGGGUUGCAAGGGGAGGUGCUUUGUAAACUAUUGUUUGAAGAUUGUCAAUAAAAGGCAGCGAGAGGAGGCCACCAUUGGGGUCAUUGUCGUGCUGGACACAGACGAGGCCUCCCUUGCGCAAGUAAUGGAUCGAUCGACUGUCUUGUUUUCUUCAUGAUGAAUAAGUCUCUAGAAUUAGCGGGGUUUGUGGAAACACAGACCCAACAUUAACCCUUCAAUUAAACUUUUAAGGCUGAUGUAUUUUUGAAAGCUACUAUUAUCUUGGAGCAGAGACACAAAAGGUACAUAUUAGUUUGUGUCAGUUGGACUGAUUUGAUUCAGACUUAGCUUAGGUGAAGAAGUGACAGUAUACUGGAGCUAAAAAACACACUGUAACAUUCCAGAAUCAUAAUUUGCCAUAUAAUAAGAAAAAAAAAUAUUGUUGUGGAUAUCUUAAAUGUACCUAAAUGUAAUUAGUCAAGAAAUAGUUUUAGUAUUUAGGUCCUAUUCCCUGGCAGGGAUAGCUCAGUAGGUAGAGUGGUGGCCCCAUGAUCGGAAGGUCGGGGGUUCGAUUCCCCUGGUACCCUGAGGUACCCCUGAGCAAGGUACCGUCCCUACACACUGCCCACUGCUUCACUGAGUGAAUGGGUUAAUUGCAGAGAGGGAUUUUCCCCACGGGGACCAAUAAAGUACACUUUCUUUUUCUAUUCAAAUAACAAAGUUUUCUGGUUCUGUAUAAUUAUACUUUAGAGGGGGUUAGGGUAAGCCUUUCACCCGCCGUCAGUCUUUACAUUGACCAAAGCUAACACAAAUGGUAUUCCACCUGUGCUAAAAAAUUAAGUCAGUGUUUCUUGAGUAACGACAGUGGCCACUUGAGGUCAGCUCCAAAAGCAUGUUAAAGCACCCAACUUAAUAGCAAUAACAUUUCUCUGGUAACAACUGUGCAAAAGUUAUUUAUUUAUUUUAAAAUUCAACUUCCAUUUCUAUAGUUUAUUUAUUUAUUUUUAUCUUUACACUCAGUUUAAUUUAUAGGCAUUCCAGCAUAUGAAACUAUAGUCAAUAGCUGUCAGCUAGGCCUCACUUCCUCUUAUUCAACUUUUUGAACUAAACCUUUCUACUGUGACUAUACUGAAGGUGCCUUGUGAAAACAUUUAAUUUAAUUAUUUGACUUGUAUGGUUUGCUAUGUGGUACUGAAGCCGUAUGUGCUUCAGUUUAUUAAGCUGUAUGGUUUGUGGUUUAAGGACUAGUGAUGGGUCGGUUGCGAACGAAAUGGCUCUUAGAGCUGGAUCUUUGAAGUGAACGAUGCGAGCCGGCUCCUUUUUGGGAGUCGUGGUUUUUUUUUUCUUUCUCCUGCCAUCUCUUUCACUUUUUUUCGCUUCACGCUCCAAGUAACGUAUUUGCGCUGAGCAGAGACCAAACAGAGCCUUGCGUUUGCGCCCCUCCCCCCUCUGCUCAGCGCUGAGCUGAGGGGGCUGGGCGGUAGUUACACUCGCAACAGUAGUAGCACACAACAAGAGCAGCAGGGAGAGGGAAAAAAGAGAGCCGGGAGCAACAACAAGAGACAACAUCGUGACAUUGGAAAGGUACAGUAAAGAAAAUGAGUGACACCAAGAAAAGAAGCAAAGUCUGGAACCAUUUCAAUCUUAUUGACAAAACAAAGGCAGAGCGUAGAGUCUACAAGAAAAGGAUAUCAUAUAGAGCCGGCUCCACAAACAACAUGCACAGGCACCUAAGAACUGUCCACCCAUCAGUGCAAUGGGAAGAUAAAACGCGGUCAGCUGAGUGUGAUAUUGAUAUUUCUAAAAAAAAAUUAAUUAAGGGAAAGGUAUUUCCAAACUAAUUAAAGAUCUGGGCGUUCUCCCCCCUUUUCCCUCAUAUUUUAAGUUAUAUUCUAUUGUGUUGUGGUUUGCAGUGUUUUGUGUUGUUUCACUUUAAAUUUGUUUAAAAGGAAAAAGCUGAAAAUUUAAAUAGUUAAAAGUUGAAAUGUAUGAAAUGUAAAUAGUUGUUUUUUGUAUUUUAUAAUUUAUUUAUUACAUUUUAUGUGGAGUGAAUAAAUACUGUACUCUCGUACAUCAGGAACUGCGUUGACAAUGUCACCGUCAACAGAAGGGUCAGGGUGUUUCCAAAUCAAAAACCCUGGAUGAAUAGCGAAGUGCAAUCCCUCCUAAAAAGCCGCAACACUGCCUUCAAGUCAGGGGACAGGGCUGCGUAUAGGCGGCCAGGGCAGACCUGAGUAGAGGCAUCAGGAAAGCUAAGGCUGCCUAUAGGAGGAGGACUGAAGAUCACUUUGCUGAUAACGACCCCAGAAAAAUGUGGCAGGGAUCAAUCACAUUACCAACUACAGAAGCAAUAACCAGGCCAGAUGCCUCGCUGGCUGAGGAUCUAAACCGUUUCUUCGCCCGCUUUGAGACGACCAGGCCCUCAGCUGUCACACCACUUCCACCUGCCCCCAGCACUGGCACACUAACAAUUAGGGAGCAUCAAGUGAGGUGUGUUCAAAGGUCAGUGAAUCCCAGGAAGGCAGCAGGUCCUGAUGGAAUACAUGGAAAGGUUCUCAGAGCAUGUGCUGACGAACUGACUGGAGUCUUCACUAAAAUCUUCAACCUUUCCUUGUCAUCAAACACCGUCCCGCCCUGCCUCAAAACCUCCACCAUCAUCCCCAUCGCCAAGAAGACAGCUGUGGUCAUCCCAAAUGACUACAGGCCUGUUGCACUUACACCUGUAGUGAUGAAGUGCUUUGAGAGACUGGUCUGUCAGCACAUCAGGGCCGCUCUGCCUCCCACUCUGGACCCCCACCAAUUUGCCUACAGGACAAAUCGAUCCACCGAGGACGCUAUCACCAUAGCGCUCCACACUGCGCUGAGUCACCUGGAGCACCGAGGAAGCUACGUGAGAAUGCUCUUUCUGGACUUUAGCUCAGCAUUCAAUCAUAUCGUCCCGGGAUCCUGGUCCAGAAACUGUCUCACCUGGGACUCUCCACCCCCAUCUGCCUCUGGAUCAAGGACUUCCUGACAAAUAGACCACAGUCUGUCAGACUCGGCCCCCACCUGUCCAACACCAUCACACUCAGGACCGGGUCUCCACAAGGAUGUGUUUUGAGUCCCCUCCUGUUUACGGUCUACACAUCCGACUGCUCCCCUACCCAUCUCUCAAACACCAUCAUAAAGUUCGCGGAUGACACCACAGUGGUUGGACUCAUCUCAAGGGGGGAUGAGUCGGACUACAGAGAUGAGGUCAACAGACUGACUGAGUGGUGUUCAGUUAACAACCUCCAACUGAACACCACGAAAACGAAAGAACUUAUCUUGGACUUCAGGAAGUGCAGAGCAGACCCGGCCCCACUUUACAUUCACGGGAACUGUGUGGAGAGGGUACACUCCAUGGGGUUUCUGGGCAUGCAGAUCUCUGAUGACCUCUCCUGGACUGCAAAUACCACAGCGGUGGUAAAAAAAGGCCCAGCAGCGUCUCGACUUUUUGAGAGUGCUCAGGAGGAACAACCUGGAGGAGAGGCUGCUGGGGACAUUUUACAGAGCCACCAUAGAGAGCAUCCUAACGUACGGCAUAACAACAUGGUAUGCAGGGUGCUCAGCUGCGGACAGGAAAGUACUGCAGAGGGUCAUCAACACAGCCCAGAAGAUCACUGGCUGCUCUCUGCCCAGCCUGGAGGUCACUGCAAACUCCCGGUACCUCAGCAGAGCUGGCAAUAUCAUCAAGGACUACUCUCACCCCAGCAAUCAACUGUUUGAACUAUUACCGUCAGGCCGACGGUACAGGUCACAUAAAACCAGGACAAACAGAUUCAGGGAUAGCUUCUUUCCCAGAGCUAUCACCGUAGUAAAUAAGCACAAAUACAAUUGAACCUGCUUAGCUAUACCAUACCGUCACUGCCAUUAUAUUAUGCUGCUAUUCAUACUGUCAUUAUAUUAAUGCUGCUAUCCUGUAUAUAUCGUACUUACUAUUGUUUGAGUAGUUACGAUUGUUUUAUUGUACCUUUUAUAUUUUACAUUUAUAUUUAUUAUUGAAUCUUGCACCAAGGCAGUGGCACUCCAAUUUCGUUGUACUCUGUACAAUGACAA